ACGUAAACGAACGCAUAACGUAUAUAAGCACAUACGAAAGGUUGAUUUGGUGUGCCUGUUGGUGGAACUGAGCUUCCCCCGGUCACCCAGCGCUGUUUUGCCUAAUUACCGCUUGCUAAAUAAAAUCGAUUGAUUGACGCAGAAUCGAUUUAUUGGCUCUUAUUUAUAACAAAUUUUGGUGCCGUGACUCGGAUUAAGGAUCUCUGGGAGGGACUCUUAAACUUCAGGGAGGCGCCCCGUCCCGUUUUCAGACGGCCCUGGAGUGGACAGAGGAUUGCCCUGAAACCUUAACCUCCGAACCCUAAAUUUAGGUAAUUAGGCAAAAGAAUUGAACCCCUUAAACCUUUGUGCACGAAGAACCGGACGAAGACCCCAGGGAGGAUAUCACAGUCUGCACCGCGGAAAGAGGAUGGACACACGCUAAUCGAGUAAAAGGUCCUAUACUGCACACAGACUGGGAAGUCACUGGGAAACUGGAUGAGUUGAAGCUGACCUUCAAGAGGAAACAGACACGUGACGCAUAGCCCUGGAUACUAGGCUUUUUAUGGACAAUUGUAAGGAAUUACAUAAGUCGCACAUCGCAUGUCCUGUAUGUAAGCAAUGCAAUCCGUGGGUAUGUCGUGUGUGUCACGGGUGCGGGAUACAGCAGUGAAAAAAAGUUUCCUUAUGUUGAACGAUGGUGUAAUGAGUGUUGGGAAAAAAAACCUUAGAUACCAUUAGGAUAUUAAUAAUCACUGAUAAGUCCAGACAUUUGGGAAAUAACCAAGAGGAAGUGUAAGAAGCGUUUUGGUAAGAAAAGAUACAGGAAGUGUUCCAAACCCUGUAAGGAUUCGGGACAGUGGCCAAACCCUUGUAUUUGAAAAUAGCCCUAUUGGGUUCAAUAUUGGAAAGUGGGUUGUGACAGAACAAGGAGAGAAUUCAGGAGGCAGUCCCCUGAAGACUACAACUGCUGCCGAGAAGAUAACUUAUCCGGCUACUCUGAAGCAACAGAGUAGGCCCAGGGCAAGGCAGAGGGGUAUCCUUGUGGGGAUUGGCAAGUGCCUCCAAAGACUUCUAAAAUAAAGCAGCUCCUUAAGCAGAACAACCCUCAACAAAAUGAACCUCCACUGGCUGAUUUUCAGCCAGCCAGGGGCCGGGUUGCUCUCCCUAAUCCUCCUUACCUUACCGGUAAUAAUAGCAAUAAAGCAGGGGAGUUCUCACCAACCUUUUAAAUGGACCCUCUAUCGAUGGGAGGACCAAACGAUAAUACAACAACAGACCACAUCAGGGUCACCUUCUUUUACUGUAACCUUAUGCCAAUUAGUUCAGAUUGAGCCAUACCUUAACAAAAUGGGGUUUUAUAUGUGCCCCAGCACAGGGCCCUCGUAUUGUAAUACUCCAGGACACUAUUACUGCUCUUACUGGGGGUGUGAAAUGAUUGCCUCAAGCUGGCCAAUUCCUCCGGCAAAUACUGAUAAGUUCUUAAAGGUUGGAUGGGGACCUGUAGGAUGCAUUCCUCCUUCGAACCAAGGCCGCCGACUAAAACUCGGUUAUCCUCGCAACCGAAACGAGCGGGACAGUGAUGGCAAGUAUGAAUAUAUAUUCCUUAACAUAACAAACCCUGAACAUAGUGGAUGGUUUGUUAGAAAAACCUGGGGAAUGCGAUAUUAUCGACCGGGUGCUGAUAGAGGAAGCAUGUUUCUCAUAAAGAAAGAAGAAGUUAAACCGACCCCUCUAGGUAGGGAGACAAAGACAGUAGAGAAGGAGAAUAUAAUAGUAAUAGAGGAAACUGUCACUGAAGCCUUGAAAUCUCUGAAUAUUGAAGCCCCGGAAUCUUUGAAUCCUCUAUGGGGAAUUAUUCUGGCUGCUUAUCAAACUCUAAACUAUACUCAACCCAACUUAACCAUGGGUUGCUGGUUGUGUUAUAAUGUUAAUCCACCCUUUUAUGAAGCUAUAUGGGAUAAUCGUCGGUAUACCAUAAACAAGGAGUCUAUGCCUAUUCAAUGUCCCUGGGAAAAGCAGAAAAGAGGGAUAACUAUGCAACAUGUAACUGGAAUAGGGACUUGUACAGGUAAAGUACCAAAUUCCAAGAGACCACUUUGUGGGAAUAUCAUACCAAGCCUUAAUAAAACCACAGGAUAUAUUAUUCCCCCUAAUAGAACAAAAUGGAUAUGUUCCAGGACGGGACUUACUCCAUGUGUGUCUUUAAAAGUGUUUAACAGUUCCCGAGAGUAUUGCAUGUCAGUUACUAUAAUUCCAAGGAUAUUAUAUCAUCAAGAAGAUGUGAUGUAUCCUAAAUCGAUUUAUUGGACUAGUUAAAAACCGUGUAGAGCGGGUACACCUUAUGCUGCUACAGAAACAUGGAACUGAUGAAGAAGCUGAAAUGACCUUACUAGCCCGAAAAGCGGUAACUCGAUUUGAUCAACAAAUAAAUGAGUAAAAAAAAAAAAAAAA